rnacentral:tRNA from 1 species
GCCGCCAUAGCUCAAUUGGUAGAGCAACUGACCUGUAAUCAGUAGGUUUCCGGUUCGACUCCGGGCGGCGGCUU